rnacentral:rRNA from 1 species
GAUGAACGCUAGCGGCAGGCUUAAUACAUGCAAGUCGAGGGGCAGCAUGAUUGUAGCAAUACAAUUGAUGGCGACCGGCAAACGGGUGCGGAACACGUACACAACCUUCCAACAAGUGGGGGAUAGCCCAGAGAAAUUUGGAUUAAUACACCGUAACAUAGCGAUGUGGCAUCACAUUGCUAUUAUAGAUUUUUCGCUUGUUGAUGGGUGUGCGGCUGAUUAGUUAGUUGGCGGGGUAACGGCCCACCAAGUCUACGAUCAGUAGCUGAUGUGAGAGCAUGAUCAGCCACACGGGCACUGAGACACGGGCCCGACUCCUACGGGAGGCAGCAGUAAGGAAUAUUGGACAAUGGACGCAAGUCUGAUCCAGCCAUGCCGCGUGAAGGAUUAAGGUCCUCUGGAUUGUAAACUUCUUUUAUAAGGGACGAAAAAAGGCUUUUCUAAGUCGUCUGACGGUACCUUAUGAAUAAGCACCGGCUAACUCCGUGCCAGCAGCCGCGGUAACAC